rnacentral:rRNA from 3 species
AGACCCGAAACCCGGUGAUCUAGCCAUGGGCAGGUUGAAGGUUGGGUAACACUAACUGGAGGACCGAACCGACUAAUGUUGAAAAAUUAGCGGAUGACCUGUGGCUGGGGGUGAAAGGCCAAUCAAACCGGGAGAUAGCUGGUUCUCCCCGAAAGCUAUUUAGGUAGCGCCUCGUGAAUUCAUCUCCGGGGGUAGAGCACUGUUUCGGCUAGGGGGCCAUCCCGGCUUACCAACCCGAUGCAAACUGCGAAUACCGGAGAAUGUUAUCACGGGAGACACACGGCGGGUGCUAACGUCCGUCGUGAAGAGGGAAACAACCCAGACCGCCAGCUAAGGUCCCAAAGUCAUGGUUAAGUGGGAAACGAUGUGGGAAGGCCCAGACAGCCAGGAUGUUGGCUUAGAAGCAGCCAUCAUUUAAAGAAAGCGUAAUAGCUCACUGGUCGAGUCGGCCUGCGCGGAAGAUGUAACGGGGCUAAACCAUGCACCGAAGCUGCGGCAGCGAACGUAUCACCCAAGACAACUUUACGGAGUUGACGAUUGACGGAGCGAAGCGACGUCAAAGCGUUCAUUAAAGUCGAGUU